rnacentral:lncRNA from 1 species
AAUUAAUUACAAAGAACCAGUUUUGGUCCUGGUCCCUCUUUAACAUUGUGUACCUCAAUUUAGGAAAAUUAUCUAAGUUGAGAGUAUCUAUCAUAGGGUUGCAUAGUUAAAAUUGGGUAUGUAGAAGGGUGUUUUAUGUAAACAAAAAAAAAGAAAGGUGAGGUGAGGUAGAAAAAAAAAGAAAAAAGAAAAAAGUGGAAACUUGAAAAGAAAAAGAAAAAAGAAAAAGAGAAAAAUGAAUAAAUGAAAGGCAAGAAGUAAACCACACCCAACUCAAAAAAUCAAUAAAGGAUAAAAAGGAGAAAUAAAAGACUAAUGGUUAAGAAAUGGAGCAAAAAUAUAAGUGCAAUGUCAGAAGGUGAGUCACUCUAUCCCAAAUGUACUAUACCUACCCGUAUGCCCACAUUACAAGUUGAGCAAAGUCCUAUAGUAAUACUAGUCCCAAUGUACAAAAAAUUAUGGUAUAGAAAAUAAGGGCAAGCCUAUGUGUAAUGUCCCUUCAGGUUAUUUUCCAUAUUUCCACUUAUUUUUUCCACUACAUCUUUUUUUUAAAUGCCCUGAGUCAUUUCGAACUUUCUAGAACUAGCAGUUUGGUUAUCGGGCAGUUUAUUUGGUUUUUAGAGCCAAUUCCCUAUUUUGAAGUCAUUGCUAGUUCUGAAUAGCCACGAGAUAAAAAAUUUAGUUAAA